rnacentral:rRNA from 1 species
UACGGGGGGGGCAAGCGUUGUUCGGAAUUACUGGGCGUAAAGGGCGCGUAGGCGGCCUACUAAGUCAGACGUGAAAUCCCUCGGCUCAACCGGGGAACUGCGUCUGAUACUGGUGGGCUUGAAUCCGGGAGAGGGAUGCGGAAUUCCAGGUGUAGCGGUGAAAUGCGUAGAUAUCUGGAGGAACACCGGUGGCGAAGGCGGCAUCCUGGACCGGUAUUGACGCUGAGGCGCGAAAGCCAGGGGAGCAAACGGG